rnacentral:rRNA from 1 species
CACGUAGGGUGCGAGCGUUGUCCGGAAUUAUUGGGCGUAAAGAGCUCGUAGGCGGUGUGUCGCGUCGGCCGUGAAAACCUGCAGCUUAACUGUGGGCGUGCGGUCGAUACGGGCAUCACUGGAGUUCGGCAGGGGAGACUGGAAUUCCUGGUGUAGCGGUGAAAUGCGCAGAUAUCAGGAGGAACACCGGUGGCGAAGGCGGGCCUCUGGGCCGAGACUGACGCUGAGGCGCGAAAGCGUGGGGAGCAAACAGG